rnacentral:lncRNA from 1 species
AACGAAGAGGACACUGGGGCAUUUAACUGCCAGUGCCCAGCAGUCGUAGUUGAGUCCUGCUGAUGAAACAGAAAACCUGCAACCUGCCCUGUUUGCAGGCAGAACAGACAGUUAAAUAUAUCAGCCAAGGAACAGCAGGGGCUGGUAGCUGAAGUUUGGACAGUCGAGCCCGUAAAUGAUUUAUUCCACUCUGUUAAGCUUCCUGAAUCACAGAGAAGUUGUCAGAAAGAUUUUAGCCUCCGCUAUAGGAAGUCCUGCCCACCUUCUCCAGAUCUCUGUUCUCAUAGUCCAUCCUCUGGUUCCAGGUGGAAGAAUUCUAAAAUCACACAAGAAAAUGUAAGAUAUCUUCCUCGAAUAUCAACAGAGAAGAACAGCAGCCACGUGGAUAAGGCAGAGUUUGGGAAAUCCUGGAUUCCCUUAUCAUAAAGCAUCUUACAGUAACCUCAGAAAUGCAGAAGUUACUUGUAAUGGUGCUGUAGACACUGUACGAGAAAGUUUCACCUUUAUGAUCUAAUUUAAUUCUCACAAAAACCCUGUUAGGUAGGGUGUUAUUAUUUAAAUUUAAAUCAGAGGAAAAUGUAACAGGAAUUCUGCAACUUACAGUCAAAGAGAUAAUAAACAGGAGCAUCUGUGGUUUGAAAAAAAAAAAAAAAAAAAAAAAAAAAAAAAAAA